rnacentral:lncRNA from 1 species
GUGUAGAGGAAGGGAUAGCUACGAUGAAUUGGGAAGGGUCUCAUCAUAGCGAGGGAAUCAAGCUCUCGGGCUACGGGAGGUCGUCGGAGUGUGCACUCAGGACACCAGGGAUCAAGGAUACCCCGUAUUUGUGAGUUCAGCUAAGGGCUAAAACACUUUGUCAAACCACAAGAAAAAUAUCGUACACGGACAUAGGAAUUUUUACAGAGGUUCAUGCCGCCAUCUGAGCAUGAAACCCUACCUCCUGUUGGUAUCGAUAUGAACUGGACGAGUACAAGCGCUUUGGUUUUACAAGGAUGGUGAUCGGGGUGUGACCAAUGGUGGUCAGGGUAUAGAUAGAGUUCCCGAACACUCCUAUAUCUAGUCUUCUUGCCUUCCCUUGGGUAAACGUAGUACUUGGUGUUCUUGAUGGAUGUGUGCUAGUGAGUUUGUCUUGCUUGUCCCUCUACUGACCUUGGACCUCCCCUUAUAUAGGCCUGGGAGGAACAUAUUGGUCAUUAGCUCGAGGAGGUAUACAAAAUGGUAGAUGUUGCGUGCAACUUGUAGUCUGUAUAAUCAGUAGAUGACCUGACACUUCGAAGUGUUAGGUGCUCGAGUGCCCCUUCUUGACGUGACACGCCACACUACCCUUCUUUGGUCUUGUGUCGUGCCAGGGGUCUA